UACGAAGGGGGCUAGCGUUGCUCGGAAUUACUGGGCGUAAAGGGAGCGUAGGCGGACAGUUUAGUCAGAGGUGAAAGCCCAGGCUCAACCUUGGAAUUGCCUUUGAUACUGAUUGUCUUGAGUACGGGAGAGGUGUGUGGAACUCCGAGUGUAGAGGUGAAAUUCGUAGAUAUUCGGAAGAACACCAGUGGCGAAGGCGACACACUGGCCCGUUACUGACGCUGAGGCUCGAAAGCGUGGGGAGCAAACGGG
rnacentral:rRNA from 1 species